GCAUAAUAAAUAGAUUUUUAAUUGAAAUCUGGAAUGAAAGGUGGAUAACUGAUUGGGUUGUUUUAUUUUAUGUUAUUGAAAUUAAAUUAAUUAUAAAAAUGUUUUUAUAAAUUCUUGGGACGAGAAGACCCUAGAAGCUUAGAUUAGAUUAAUUUUGGUUGGGGCAACAAUUGAAGAAAGAAAUUUUUGAUUUUAUUAAUUUAUUAUAAAUUAUUAUUAAUUAAGUUACUCUAGGGAUAACAGCGUUAUUUAGUUGGUGAGUUCUUAUUUAUAAUUGAGAUUGCGACCUCGAUGUUGAAUUAAAU
rnacentral:rRNA from 1 species